CAAUUUCAAAUCAACUCAUUUUUUUUUUUAUAAGCUUCAAAUCAACUCUUUGAUUACCCAAAGAUAUAUAAUGGUGCCAAAUCAAAAAAUGAAUAGAUAAAUAUAACGUGUUUACAAAAUAUAGUUCAAACACCAAGUCAAUACAAAAUGGUAGACAAAAUAUCUAACGUAGUUUGAUGUAGUUUAAUACUUUGGCACAUAUAGUAAACAAAAUGUCACGGAUAAAAUUUAACACUUCAAGUACGUGCCUAGCAAAAAAGUCAUCCACGUCGAUCAAUUGGCAUUGGAGAAAACUAAUAUGAAAAUGCAUCUUCUUGGAACUCGUCUUCAUCAUCUUCAUCAAUUGGAUCAUCUUCAUUGAUACCUUGCUGCAUAAAAUAAAUAUAUAUAUA
rnacentral:lncRNA from 1 species